rnacentral:rRNA from 1 species
GAUGAACGCUAGCGGCAGGCUUAACACAUGCAAGUCGAGGGGCAGCGUGGAGCAGCAAUGCUCUGACGGCGACCGGCGGAAGGGUGCGUAACACGUGAGCGACUUGCCCGUCACAGGGGGAUAACCGGCGGAAACGGCGACUAAUACCCCAUAUGAUGCGAUGCUGCAUGGCAUUGCAUUGAAAGAUUCAUCGGUGGCGGAUAGGCUCGCGGGACAUUAGCUAGACGGCGGGGCAACGGCCCACCGUGGCGACGAUGUCUAGGGGUUCUGAGAGGAAGGCCCCCCACACUGGGACUGAGACACGGCCCAGACUCCUACGGGAGGCAGCAGUGGGGAAUAUUGCACAAUGGAGGAAACUCUGAUGCAGCGACGCCGCGUGAGUGAAGAAGUAAUUCGUUAUGUAAAGCUCUAUCAGCAGGGAAGAUAGUGACGGUACCUGACUAAGAAGCUCCGGCUAAAUACGUGCCAG